CUUCAACAAAAGCCCUUCUUCUUGGUCUCUCACUGGUUCUUUGUCUGGAGAAUCAAGCUCUUGUUCUACAGAUCAUUGAAGCUUCGAGAAAGUAUGUCCCUCCUAUCCGUCCCGUUGGUAGAGGUGCUUGCGGUAUUGUCUGUGCUGCUGUGAACUCAGUGACUGGAGAAUAAGAGGCUAUUGAGAAGAUUGGUAAUGCUUUUGAUAAUGUUAUUGAUGCUAAGAGAGCUCUACGUGAGAUCAAGCUUCUAAGGCACAUGGAUCAUGAGAACGUAAAAACUUACCCAUCAUUUCUCAUAUUUAAGUUUCUUCAAGGACGAUAAAAACAGAGGAUACUCUGUUUCCUCUGUUUUUGUUUUCUUUAAUCUUCAAUCAAUCUGGGGGAAAUGAUGACAGGACAGCCUUUGUUUCCUGGAAAAGACUAUGUUCAUCAGCUAAGGCUUAUCACAGAGCUUGUAGGCUCUCCGGACAACUCGAGUCUUGGUUUCCUUCGGAGUGAAACGCAAGAAGAUACGUGAGGCAACUUCCACGAUAUCCUAAACAACAGUUUAUCGUGAUGGCUGCGAUGAAUCAACACUUAAAAGAAAGAAUUUACUUCGUGACGUUUGGACCUGUAGAUAUGGGCCAAUGGCAUUGA